rnacentral:rRNA from 1 species
CCUACGGGAGGCAGCAGUGAGGAAUAUUGGUCAAUGGACGAGAGUCUGAACCAGCCAAGUAGCGUGAAGGAUGACUGCCCUAUGGGUUGUAAACUUCUUUUAUAUGGGAAUAAAAUGUUCCACGUGUGGGAUUUUGUAUGUACCAUAUGAAUAAGGAUCGGCUAACUCCGUGCCAGCAGCCGCGGUACUACGGAGGAUCCGAGCGUUAUCCGGAUUUAUUGGGUUUAAAGGGAGCGUAGGUGGAUUGUUAAGUCAGUUGUGAAAGUUUGCGGCUCAACCGUAAAAUUGCAGUUGAAACUGGCAGUCUUGAGUGCAGUAGAGGUGAGCGGAAUUCGUGGUGUAGCGGUGAAAUGCUUAGAUAUCACGAAGAACUCCGAUUGCGAAGGCAGUUCACUGGACUGCAACUGACACUGAGGCUCGAAAGUGUGGGUAUCAAACAGGAUUAGAUACCCGGGUAGUC